rnacentral:tRNA from 1 species
GAGAGGGGCUGCUUAGCAAUGAGAACUGCUAAUUCUCACCCCUUUGGUUAAAGUCCAGAGCCCACUCA